UGGAAAAGAACUGAGACCCACUGAAGGGAUGGGAUGACAGAGUCAGCAGUCUAAUCUCUACUGCCCGAUGCCUUCAUCACUUCUUAAGCUUAAAGGCUGUGCUCCCAUCAGUUCAGCUGAGUUCAGUUCAGUUGCUCAGUCGUGUCCGACUCUCUGCGAUCCCAUGGACUGCAGCAUGCUGGGCUUCCCUGUCCAUCACCAUCUCCUGGAGAGCUUGCUCAAACUCAUGUCCAUCAAGUCGGUGAUGCCAUCCAACUGCUCCCAUCACACCAGGCUAAAGAGAAAAGCUCAGGUCUGAGGGAAGAGACAAUCUCGCCGAGGAGAGCUUACUGUCUUGGUUUGAUGACUAAUCUUCUUUAUCCCUAUGCAGCUGGCCUGUCUACAGAAAGCCUUCGUACCUCCAUCAGCUGUCUCCAUCUUCCUACAUCUGUUUCCUUUUUAUCCCUUUCCUCUGUGACUCUUGUCUACAAAAAUUUUCUCAGAAAACCUCUAGUUUUCUUUCAAGAUGGUAAGAAUGGGGCUGUUUUGUAUGUGGUAAGAAUGGAACCUCUCUCUACUUGGACCACAUAUUGAAGCUAAAGUGGGUCAGUGGAUUCUUAAGAAAAGCUAUGACAAACCUAGAUAGUGUAUUCAAAAGGAGAGACCUCACUUUGCCAACAAAGGUUCCUCUAGUCAAAGUUAAGGUUUUUCCAGUAGAUGUGAGAGUUGGACCAUAAAGAAGGCUGAGUGCCUAAGAACUGAUGCUUUUGAACUGUGAUGCUAGAGAAGUCUCCUGAGAAUCCCUUGGACAACAAGAAGAUCAAACCAGUCAAUCCUAAAGGAAAUCAACCCUGAGUCUUCAUCGGAAAGACUGAUGCUGAAGCUGAAGCUCUAAUACUUUGGCCACUUGAUGUGAAGAGCCGGCUCGCUGGAAAAGACCCUGAUGCUGGGAAAGAUUGAGGGCAGGAGGAGAAGGGGGCAACAGAGGAUGAGAUGGUUGGAUGGCAUCACUGACUCAAUAACAUGAGUUUGAGCCAGCUCUGGGAGAUACUGAAGGACAGGGAAGCCUGGCGUGCUGUAGUCCACGGGGUCACAAAGAGUGGGACACAACUGAGUGACUGAACAACAACAAAGGGCACCUCCAGCAGACCUAGUCAAGCACGAGUUGUUCAUUUCAUCUGUUUUCUCUGAUGUUUUUCAUCUGAUGAGAUCCUCACUGCUGAUGACCAGCAUUCUGUGCUGAACAGAAUAUUCAUGUUUCUCAUUUAGGGGACAGCUCAUUAUUAUUCUAAGAUCUCAGUCUUUACUGGUUGGUGCUAUUUAGAGAAAUUUUCUUCUUUCAGUUGACUUGGAAAUAAAACCAGCAGGAAACCACAUAUAUCUGAAGCAGUAAUACUAAACUCUAUUCAAAAUGCAGUUGCCCUAGGAUUACAUAAUG